CCUACGGGGCGCAGCAGUGGGGAAUAUUGCACAAUGGGGGAAACCCUGAUGCAGCGACGCCGCGUGAAGGAAGAAGUAUUUCGGUAUGUAAACUUCUAUCAGCAGGGAAGAAAAUGACGGUACCUGACUAAGAAGCCCCGGCUAACUACGUGCCAGCAGCCGCGGUAAUACGUAGGUGGCAAGCGUUGUCCGGAUUUACCGGGUGUAAAGGGCGUGUAGCCGGGCCGGCAAGUCAGAUGUGAAAUCCCAAGGCUCAACCUUGGACCUGCAUUUGAAACUGUUGGUCUUGAGUAUCGGAGAGGCAG
rnacentral:rRNA from 1 species